GUAUAUGCCAUGGACUUCCGUUUUAGCACUUCCGCAUUUUUUAGCCACAUAGAAUGCUUCCGGUGCGCAGGCAGCAGUAUGUUAACAGUGGCUCCUCAGUCGUUGCAGGACUAUUAAUGAUGCCUAUAAAAUUAUUCAGACGUCCUGAAACGCUCCAACAACAACAAAGGAUUUAAGCUGGAUGUGUCAAAACUUCACAAUAACUUCAAAGUUGGAGUUGGACAGAAGUUCUGUUUCAUGGCUUCCUGGAGGGAGAGAUCGGCUCAGCUAAUGUUACCAACAACUUUUCUCCUAUUAACAUUUUUGUUUUUCUUUAUAUAGAAAGUAUUUCUAUCAGUUGCUUUUUCCAUUUUGUUUACAGUAUUUGCUCUAUUUUUUAUUUUUACCUUAAUGCUUACCUGGUCAGUUGAGGUGGAAAUGUACAUCCUGUUGAUUACUGACAAAUGUCAGAACCACAUGGACUGAGCUGGUUAGUCAGAUCAAUCUGAAUCUUUAUUUCUCAUUAAAACGACUUCUUGUAAUUUUAAGACAUUGUUAUAAAAUUGCAUCUUUAUUCUGCUGUAACGAUGACUGCAUUCUUGCAAUUAAAAUUUCUUGUAUCCUGACCGUAAUGCUCCCUUAUACAACUCACAGAACAGAUGAUUGAAAUAAAGGCACUUUUUGAAAGUA